UCGGGAAUUUUGCGCAAUGGGCGAAAGCCUGACGCAGCAACGCCGCGUGAGGGAUGAAGGCCUUCGGGUUGUAAACCUCUUUUCUCAGGGACGAUGAUGACGGUACCUGAGGAAUAAGCCACGGCUAACUACGUGCCAGCAGCCGCGGUAAUACGUAGGUGGCGAGCGUUGUCCGGAUUUACUGGGCGUAAAGAGCGCGCAGGCGGUCGGUCAAGUCGAGUGUGAAAGCCCCCGGCUCAACUGGGGAGGGUCAUUCGAUACUGAUCGACUCGAAGGCAGGAGAGGGAAGUGGAAUUCCCGGUGUAGUGGUGAAAUGCGUAGAUAUCGGGACGAACACCAGUGGCGAAGGCGACUUCCUGGCCUGUUCUUGACGCUGAGGCGCGAAAGCUAGGGGAGCAAAACGGGAUUAGAUACCCCGGGUAGUCCUAGCCGUAAACGAUGGACACUAGGUGUUGGUGGUAUCAACCCCGCCAGUGCCGAAGCUAACGCAUUAAGUGU
rnacentral:rRNA from 1 species